rnacentral:tRNA from 1 species
UUGUGGCCGAGUGGUCUAAGGCGCUGAUUUCAGGUGCCGGCAUUUGUUGGCGUGGAUUCAAAUCCCAUCAA